rnacentral:rRNA from 1 species
AGAGUUUGAUCCUGGCUCAGAUUGAACGCUGGCGGCAGGCCUAACACAUGCAAGUCGAACGGUAACAGGAAACAGCUUGCUGUUUCGCUGACGAGUGGCGGACGGGUGAGUAAUGUCUGGGAAACUGCCUGAUGGAGGGGGAUAACUACUGGAAACGGUAGCUAAUACCGCAUAACGUCGCAAGACCAAAGAGGGGGACCUUAGGGCCUCUUGCCAUCGGAUGUGCCCAGAUGGGAUUAGCUAGUAGGUGGGGUAACGGCUCACCUAGGCGACGAUCCCUAGCUGGUCUGAGAGGAUGACCAGCCACACUGGAACUGAGACACGGUCCAGACUCCUACGGGAGGCAGCAGUGGGGAAUAUUGCACAAUGGGCGCAAGCCUGAUGCAGCCAUGCCGCGUGUAUGAAGAAGGCCUUCGGGUUGUAAAGUCUUUUCAGCGGGGAGGAAGGGAGUAAAGUUAAUACCUUUGCUCAUCGACGUUACCCGCAGAAGAAGCACCGGCUAACUCCGUGCCAGCAGCCGCGGUAAUACGGAGGGUGCAAGCGUUAAUCGGAAUUACUGGGCGUAAAGCGCACGCAGGCGGUUUGUUAAGUCAGAUGUGAAAUCCCCGGGCUCAACCUGGGAACUGCAUCUGAUACUGGCAAGCUUGAGUCUCGUAGAGGGGGGUAGAAUUCCAGGUGUAGCGGUGAAAUGCGUAGAGAUCUGGAGGAAUACCGGUGGCGAAGGCGGCCCCCUGGACGAAGACUGACGCUCAGGUGCGAAAGCGUGGGGAGCAAACAGGAUUAGAUACCUUGGUAGUCCA